CCUACGGGGGGCUUCAGUGGGGAAUAUUGCACAAUGGGGGGAACCCUGAUGCAGCAACGCCGCGUGGGUGAAGAAGUACUUCGGUAUGUAAAGCCCUGUCAGCAGGGAAGAAAAUGACGGUACCUGACCAAGAAGCCCCGGCUAACUACGUGCCAGCAGCCGCGGUAAUACGUAGGGGGCAAGCGUUAUCCGGAUUUACUGGGUGUAAAGGGAGCGUAGACGGCAAGGCAAGUCUGGAGUGAACGCCCGUGGCUCAACCACGGGACUGCUUUGGAAACUGUGUUGCUGGAGUGCAGGAGGGGUAAGCGGAAUUCCUAGUGUAGCGGUGAAAUGCGUAGAUAUUAGGAAGAACACCGGUGGCGAAGGCGGCUUACUGGACUGUAACUGACGUUGAGGCUCGAAGGCGUGGGGAGCGAACAGGAUUAGAUACCCGUGUAGUC
rnacentral:rRNA from 1 species